rnacentral:rRNA from 1 species
CCUACGGGAGGCUGCAGUGGGGAAUAUUGGACAAUAGGGGCAACCCUGAUCCAGCCAUGCCGCGUGUGUGAAGAAGGCCCUCGGGUUGUAAAGCACUUUCAGUGAGGAAGAACGCCUGGUGGUUAAUACCCAUCAGGAAAGACAUCACUCACAGAAGAAGCACCGGCUAACUCCGUGCCAGCAGCCGCGGUAAUACGGAGGGUGCGAGCGUUAAUCGGAAUUACUGGGCGUAAAGCGCGCGUAGGUGGCUUGAUAAGCCGGUUGUGAAAGCCCCGGGCUCAACCUGGGAACGGCAUCCGGAACUGUCAAGCUAGAGUGCAGGAGAGGAAGGUAGAAUUCCCGGUGUAGCGGUGAAAUGCGUAGAGAUCGGGAGGAAUACCAGUGGCGAAGGCGGCCUUCUGGACUGACACUGACACUGAGGUGCGAAAGCGUGGGUAGCAAACAGGAUUAGAUACCCCAGUAGUC